rnacentral:rRNA from 2 species
UUGCAUCUUGAUUUAAUUUUGAACGAGUGGCGGACGGGUGAGUAACACGUGGGUAACCUGCCCUUAAGUGGGGGAUAACAUUUGGAAACAGAUGCUAAUACCGCAUAAAUCCAAGAACCGCAUGGUUCUUGGCUGAAAGAUGGCGUAAGCUAUCGCUUUUGGAUGGACCCGCGGCGUAUUAGCUAGUUGGUGAGGUAACGGCUCACCAAGGCAAUGAUACGUAGCCGAACUGAGAGGUUGAUCGGCCACAUUGGGACUGAGACACGGCCCAAACUCCUACRGGAGGCAGCAGUAGGGAAUCUUCCACAAUGGACGCAAGUCUGAUGGAGCAACGCCGCGUGAGUGAAGAAGGCUUUCGGGUCGUAAAACUCUGUUGUUGGAGAAGAAUGGUCGGCAGAGUAACUGUUGUCGGCGUGACGGUAUCCAACCAGAAAGCCACGGCUAACUACGUGCCAGCAGCCGCGGUAAUACGUAGGUGGCAAGCGUUAUCCGGAUUUAUUGGGCGUAAAGCGAGCGCAGGCGGUUUUUUAAGUCUGAUGUGAAAGCCCUCGGCUUAACCGAGGAAGUGCAUCGGAAACUGGGAAAC